UCCAGACUCCUACGGGAGGCAGCAGUGAGGAAUAUUGGUCAAUGGGCGGAAGCCUGAACCAGCCAAGUCGCGUGAGGGAUUAAGGCCCUGCGGGUCGUAAACCUCUUUUGCCGGGGAGCAGUGGUCCGGACGCGUCCGGACCGGGAGAGUACCCGGAGAAAAAGCAUCGGCUAACUCCGUGCCAGCAGCCGCGGUAAUACGGAGGAUGCGAGCGUUAUCCGGAUUUACUGGGUGUAAAGGGAGCGCAGGCGGCCUUGCAAGUCUGAUGUGAAAGGCCGGGGCCCAACCCCGGGACUGCAUUGGAAACUGCGAGGCUGGAGUGUCGGAGAGGCAGGCGGAAUUCCUAGUGUAGCGGUGAAAUGCGUAGAUAUUAGGAGGAACACCAGUGGCGAAGGCGGCCUGCUGGACGAUGACUGACGCUGAGGCUCGAAAGCGUGGGGAGCAAACAGGAUUAGAUACCCCCGUA
rnacentral:rRNA from 1 species